rnacentral:rRNA from 1 species
AUGCAAGUCGAGCGGAUGAAGGGAGCUUGCUCCUGGAUUCAGCGGCGGACGGGUGAGUAAUGCCUAGGAAUCUGCCUGGUAGUGGGGGAUAACGUCCGGAAACGGGCGCUAAUACCGCAUACGUCCUGAGGGAGAAAGUGGGGGAUCUUCGGACCUCACGCUAUCAGAUGAGCCUAGGUCGGAUUAGCUAGUUGGUGGGGUAAAGGCCUACCAAGGCGACGAUCCGUAACUGGUCUGAGAGGAUGAUCAGUCACACUGGAACUGAGACACGGUCCAGACUCAUACGGGAGGCAGCAGUGGUGAAUAUUGGACAAUGGGCGAAAGCCUGAUCCAGCCAUGCCGCGUGUGUGAAGAAGGUCUUCGGAUUGUAAAGCACUUUAAGUUGGGAGGAAGGGCAGUAAGUUAAUACCUUGCUGUUUUGACGUUACCAACAGAAUAAGCACCGUCUAACUUCGUGCCAGCAGCCGCGGUAAUACGAAGGGUGCAAGCGUUAAUCGUGAAUUACUGGGCGUAAAGCGCGCGUAGGUGGUUCAGCAAGUUGUAUGUUAAAUCCCCGGGCUCAACCUGGGAACUGCAUCCAAAACUACUGAGCUAGAGUACGGUAGAGGGUGGUGUAAUUUCCUGUGUAGCGGUGAAAUGCGUAGAUAUAGGAAGGAACACCAGGUGGCGAAGGCGACCACCUGGACUGAUACUGACACUGAGGUGCGAAAGCGGGGGGGAGCAAAACAGAAUUAGAUACCCUGGUAGUCCACGCCGUAAACGAUGUCGACUAGCCGUUGGGAAUCCUUUGAAGAUCUUAGGGGCCGCCAGCUA